UUCUAGCCUUAGCCGAAACCCCUUCCCCAAGACAGCAGCCAACACACACGAAUAACCCUAAUCCAAUUACCCACUUCCCUAACCCAGCAGCAGUGGCACACACCUUUCCCUUUCCUCAGAUCAAUAUGAAGCUUCACCCUCCUCCUUCAACGUACCAGACACCCACCACACCGAGAAGAAACACGGAUAUGAAGGGGAAGAAGAAGGAGAUCAUAAUCGGAAGGGAAGGGGGCCGCAUUUUACGCAGUGCAGUUCGCGUCGCCUUCACCGCGUCACCGCCGCCAAGCUUGUGCUGCCAUCGUCCUGUCGAGCUACUGCCGCCACCAUGAAGCCACCGUUCGAAUCGCGAUCAGGAGAGGGAGAAGGUGCGAGCCAUGGCCAGAGGGGAGAAGGUGCCGUGUGGAAGCUGCGCCGCCGUCACCAUUGCCGAGUCUUAGUGUCGCCGUUGAGCUGCUCUGCUGCACCGUGGCUGAGCUCCGCCACUCCCUGUUCCUCGGGCCGGUGGUGUUGCUGCUACUGCCAUCCAGAGAGAUGCACGAGGAGGAGUUCGACGUGCGUGAAAAAGGCUGAGAUGGUUCCUGUAAGUGCCACCUACCUCCGCCACUGCUAGGGCCUGCCGCCGGCGCGCCAUUGAAAGGAAGGCUGUCCAGUCACAUCGAGUAGGAGAGACAGAGAGAUCUGAAAGUGUGUUGAGAGUCCAACCACCGCGCCCUACCGUCGUUCGCAUCGCCGGCGCCGCCUCUGUCAGAACUGCCGCUGUCAAAAAAGGGUUCUGGUCGCCGGGAGUGGCUCUGUGACCUCCGGGAGCACCACCGAGCUUCUGGCUGUUUCUGCCAUCACCGGAGAUCUCUACCGUUGAUCCACCGGGGCUUCUGGCCGCCGCCGGAGCUGUUGCCGGGGCCGGUUCGAAAUCGCAGCUGCUUCAUGUUGUUAUUCCGUGUUGCUAUAGUUAUUGCGAAAGUGGCUGGGAGCUGAGGUUUUGGUUGCCGGUAAUUUCGAGUUAAGGCGGAAAGGACUUUGUGAGACGUUUGGGUUAUGGAAUUUCGUUUUGAGGAUAUGGGCGCAGAAGUUACGAAGAAUUUAUUUAGUUAUUGUUGUGAUGCUUUGUAUUGCUUUAGAUUAUUAUUUAUUGUACCCUUGCCUUUAUCUUGAUAUAAUCUGUAAGAGGGAUAGGAAUUUUAUUGGAUUAUGUUUGUAAUAUUACUUAUAUAUAUAUGUAUGUAUAUAUAUGGAUGUACUCUUUAUGAGUUUUUGUAAGAUGUAUGGUAUGUAUGGAUGUACGUUGUAUAGCAAAAGUAUUUUUUUUUGGGAGCGGUAUUGCGGUUUAAAGUUUUUAAACAGGCUCAUAUUUUAGUAUUAAAUAGUAUAAGUGUCGUCGUAAUGUCCGAGCUAUCAGAGUUGCGCAGCCGGAAGCGUGAGCUUUGGUAGUUAGGGUGUUACACGACCCAACAAUCUUAGCUACCGAGUUGGAAUGACAAAGUUGGCUUGGAGACCGCCUCUGAGCCUCACAAGAUCGUUGCUUCGGGUUGGGGUCGUUCUUUGCUAGUGGCCUCCGCUCUUCGGUGUUGGCGGCUUCCUCUGCCUCUGCCACCAGCCCUUCCGAUCCCCAGAAAGUUAUUGACUUGAGGGAGGAGGUGCAAAAGUUGACAUAAGAGCUUCAUCAGCAAGCGAAACAGUCUGAAGGUACAACGACCUGCUUACAUGCGUGGGAGGAGCCGUUGCCAUCAGCUCGGACCUGACGGAGAAGCUAGAGCAGCUAGAUUGGUUGCGAGAGCAGAUUGAGGUGUACAACCAGCAAAUGCGUGCUGGAAGCAGUGGCACUGCUGGUUCUAGUGGCAACGUUGCUGGUGGGGCAUCAACGUCAGCACCUACUCCGCCGCCUCAGCAGAGGUACCACGACGAGGAUGACGAUUAUUACUGGGAUCUGUAGGAGUUUCAUUUUCUUGU